GCUUCUAUAGUUCAAAAGGUAGAACAAUUGGCUUCUAUCCAAUUAAUAAGAGUUCGAGUCUCUUUAGAAGUU
rfam:Trichoplax adhaerens isolate Grell Red Sea mitochondrion, complete genome.